rnacentral:rRNA from 1 species
UACGUAGGGGGCUAGCGUUGCUCGGAAUCACUGGGCGUAAAGCGCACGUAGGCGGAUUCCUAAGUCGGGGGUGAAAUCCUGGAGCUCAACUCCAGAACUGCCUUCGAUACUGGGAAUCUUGAGUCCGGAAGAGGUGAGUGGAACUGCGAGUGUAGAGGUGAAAUUCGUAGAUAUUCGCAAGAACACCAGUGGCGAAGGCGGCUCACUGGUCCGGUACUGACGCUGAGGUGCGAAAGCGUGGGGAGCAAACAGG